GUGGGGAAUAUUGGACAAUGGGCGAAAGCCUGAUCCAGCCAUGCCGCGUGUGUGAAGAAGGUCUUCGGAUUGUAAAGCACUUUAAGUUGGGAGGAAGGGCAGUAAGUUAAUACCUUGCUGUUUUGACGUUACCGACAGAAUAAGCACCGGCUAACUUCGUGCCAGCAGCCGCGGUAAUACGAAGGGUGCAAGCGUUAAUCGGAAUUACUGGGCGUAAAGCGCGCGUAGGUGGUUUUGUAAGUUGGAGGUGAAAUCCCCGGGCGCAACCUGGGAACUGCCUCAAAAACUGCAUGACUAGAGUACGGUAGAGGGUAGUGGAAUUUCCUGUGUAGCGGUGAAAUGCGUAGAUAUAGGAAGGAACACCAGUGGCGAAGGCGACUACCUGGACUGAUACUGACACUGAGGUGCGAAAGCGUGGGGAGCAAACAGGAUUAGAAACCCGGGUAGUCC
rnacentral:rRNA from 1 species